rnacentral:misc_RNA from 1 species
CUGCCUACGUGCGCAGCGGCCGCCGUGCCCCACUGGCAUGGUCGUGUGCAUCCCUCCGGCGAGGGCCGCUGCACCCGCCUGAUGGCCGGCGGCACUUCCCAGCCCCGUGCCCCCGUCUCGUCGCUGUUGCGCCGCCGUCUAUUGUUGCAGCCGCUUGCCGCGGCCUGCCCGCGCUGCUCCAGCACGCCACCAGACAUGGCCACCGACGAGUUCGCUCAGCCGGUGUCGCCUCCUUCCCUGUGUUGUGCCGCCCCAUACUGCAAGUUGAAGAAAAGAAAACUGUCUCUGCUUCGUUCGUUCAUGUGA